UGUGUCGUUGCCGUUGUCGUCGCCGCCGCCGCAGCCCCUCUCUUUUUUGGAGUCUUCCUUAUCUGGAGACAAAACAGUUUGGUGUCUUUGACACGCUUGGGAUCGACGGAUCAUUCAUGCCAUGGUUGGAUUUGAAUGGGGGCAGCCGUUUGAAAUCAAAUCAAAAGAUACACAACCUAAGAUCGAAAUAUUCCUACCUGAACCAAAGGGCAAGCUUGAACGCCAACAUCGGGAAGGUAUCUUGGCACCGAAUCAUCGCGAGGAGAAGGGGAUGUGUUGCUGUACAUGAGGUGUUAAUGAGGAGAAGGGGAUGUGUUGCUGU